UUAAGUUCACUCGUGGUUGUUACUGAAGGUAUAGAGUAUACUAAGAAAGAGAUAUGGCGAGUAACUCGAACUCAACAGUCACAGAUUGAACUAAACCACAGCCAAAUAUCCCGUCGGAGGUCCCACUAUGUUGGGGAUCGCCUCCCAAGUUUCUCCCAACACUUCACAAAUUUUAACAACAGGUUUGAUGAAGAUAUUUUUUAUUUCACAGUUCCAAAAAACAACAAGAAUAAUAACAACACGUGUUCUCCUUUCUAUCGCAGAUGGUAUAUUAGCAUAACGGUCACUUUUUAUCAGGCAGUGUACAAAACAUAGCGGCUUAUAGCUUAUCACCUAUAUAAAACUACAUAAUCUUUCAAAGACUCUUAUGUAUACAAAUAAUAAAUAUUGUCACAAAUAUUGUUAAACAGACAAGAAGAAAUAAGUAAAGCUCAAGGAGUACUCGCGUCGCCCUAUCAAUUCAAGCUUGAAUGUAAGUAAAUGAAACGUCAAAGACAGAUGUUGGGUCGAAGCACAUUGGUUGUGCAAUUUUUGAUUUGUUUACAUGUGACUUGUACAGCAAUGACUGUGCAAGAGAAAGCAGAUGUAAAGUACAAUAUUGAAAAAUCAUAUCACAACGUUAUCGGCAAUGUGAAUAGAAAAAAUCUUGAAAAAUUCAAAGAAGACAAGCAUAUUGUGAAUUUAAAAAAGUUUCGCGAUCAAAGCAGCAUGCGUAAAUCGCCAGCAAGACAUAUGACCAAUUUGCGUGACAACACAUUCAAGUACAAUGAACUUUCAGAUAAACAAGUGGCAUACGGCGACUUCACUCAUCGUAUUUUUAAACGAAAUGCAAACCCCAACGUCAAUGUGACAAUCUCACCACCACCUCUACCACCAAAAAUACCACCUCCUCCUCCAUUGCCUAUUUUCAACGUUCCUCCGGUUUGUGAAAGAGACAAAUCCUGCUCAGGUCGAUGUACUGGAAAUAAAACUGACUGGAGAAGCAAUGACGGCCUUUCAUGUUACUGUGACGUAGCUUGUUAUGAAAUUUUUAAUGAUUGUUGUGCUGAUUAUGUCAAAUAUUGUGGAGA